CUUCAUAAAUCCAAAAGUAUCAGGAUUCUUGUCAAUAAAAACAAAGGGAGUAUAACUAAAUAUUUACAAGAAUUCAUAUUGUUCAGGGUAGCACAGCAAAACGGGAUCAGACUAUAUGUAUGAAGACAUAUAGCUGAGAGUGACAAUCCUAAUUAAGUUCAAAAGAAAUAGUCUUCAACUGUUCACACUACCGUAUGGGAACAGAAUACGGUACCAAAAGACGUCUGAAACAACAAACCCUCCAGCGGCCAGCCAAUCUCUCUCCUUGCUCAUCCUGCACAUUUAGAAAUACAUGCAGGGCUGAGUAUAAAAUACUCAGUGGACAUAAGCCGAAAAUAAACAAUCUCGCUCUUAGAGCUAUAAAUUUAACUUGCCAUUUAUGCUUUACACAGGGGUUUUACUCAAAAGAACCCGUGUAAGCAAUUGAUAAAUUAUAAGCAUCAUAAACAAUGAAUGAUAGACUGCAGUAAAAAAUACUCAGCAUGUAGUACCACUUCUACAACUCAUCAUCAUCAAGGUACUGAGAAGUAGGCCUCAUUCUCAAGCACUGUAACCGGCCGAUUCGACAGUCGGCUCACAGUCAUUUCUGACCGGCCAACCCGGUAUACAGCUCACGGUUACCUCUGUGUACACAAUCCUACUUUUUGCAGGACCCGAAUUCGUCUCAUCCGUAGAGGGUAACGUACAGGCUCGUCGUCAUCAAAACUCGGCAAGUUAAUUAGUUCAAACAUCAAUUUAUCUCAAAUCAUUUUUAAAACUCAUAAACAUCAUCAUAAUCAUCAUUUAGAAAGCCAAUAAUAGGGGUAUUAGAAAGUAAUGCCCACCUGGAAAUCCUAACUUUAGCUCUGGUGCUUUGGAGUGAUCUCACUUAUGCCCUCGACUCGUAUCUUCAGACAUCAUCAUUGGCGUAGACGGUUCAUGUAAUACAAUAAACGUCGAUCAGAAAAUUCCUCACUAAAUUUACUGUUCUCAUCUUAGUACUACUCAUAGUUUCUUAUUGGUGCCUUCUGACUAAUCAAUCUUAUAAUAAUAAUAUUUCCUAAAUAUUCACCGUUUCUACUCUCGACUCAUCACCAAAUUUUUAAGUCUAAACAGUCCAUUAAGGAACAAACUCCUAGAUAAUCAACCCAGAUAGCAUCUAGCAAUCACAUACUAAAGUUAUGGCAGUAUAUCACAUUCUUUAAUACAUUCUCGAUAAUUCACAUAAUACUAAAUGACACAAUUAUGUGAUUAAACAUCUCAAGAAAAACCAAAUUCGGUUAAGUAAAUUAAACUCGGAAAAUGUUUUAUAUAUAUAUAUAUACUCCAAUAGCAUUCUCAUGAAUUAAUACGGUGUAUAGUCAUCGCCAUUAACACUUGAAAUUACAAUAAAUCAAAAGUAGGAGUGUUAUGAAUACCUACGUACACUUGACCACAUAUACUCUGUUUCAACUUUAAGAAAUAAACUGUUUCGCCUCGGAACUCCCCUGGGUUUGGGAUUCAUACCAUUUGAAACCUCUUGAAGUCUAGUUUCAUUUAUAAAAAAGUAGGUUGCAAAACUCUAAGUGGUUCAAGAGAUAUGACCAUUCUCCCACAGCCUACCAUAUUCGGCAGUUUUGUGCAACUGGAAGUUUGGAUUUUUGAAUAAUAGUAAAUCUUGUCGAAAUGACUUGAUAAUUUUUGGGUAGCUAUCUAACAUAUUCAUAUCAUUUAUAUAAAAAUUUGAAAAGCAAAAACUCAGGGGAAAGUACUGAAAAGGGUGACUCUAGUGUCUGUUUCUUCCAAACUUUUCUAACUUUCAGUAGAAAGUUGCAGUUGGAGAUUUAUAUUUUAAAAGGGUAGAAAACGAUGUCCAAAUGACUUAAAAUUUUACAUGAACGUUCCUAAUACUUAUAUAUACUUACCAUAAAAUUUUCAAGAUUUUUGGGUAUCAACAACCCCGUCGAAUUUCAUCAAGUCAGUAGCUUUUUAAGCUAGCCAAAUUAACUCAUCAAAUUGCCCACUUAUGCAUGAUAGCCAACUAUACCCUAUUCCUCAUCAAACUAAUUCAUCUCAAUCUUCAUCAAUCAUCUCUAAUCAUCAUUCUAAUCCAUCAAAUAUCAUCCCAACAAUCUCACAAGCUCAUAAUCACAACCAAUUCAUCAAUCAAUCCAUGAACUUCAACCUUUCUAGAGUCAUGUAAACUAACAUAUUCAAACAUUCAUAUAUCAUAAUAAACUCAUGCUUUGCAUAUAAAAGAUGAUUAAAUAGACUCCCAAUAGCAUAAAUAUGGUCUCACUUAAAGAUUAGAAGAUGAAUUUUUUUUGAAGGCUUCCAACCCUAAAUUUUCGAAAAUUACAAACUUGAAUUAGAAGUUGUUUUCAUGCUUUAAUCAUCCAUAUUCAUGCUUAUAUAGCUCAACCAUAAGUAGAUUCAUGUGAUUAGAAGCUUACUCUUAUGAUUUUUGUGGAGAAAAAUAUAGCUCCACCUUCUUGACUCCAAGCUCAAACCCUCAACCAAGCUUUUGUUUUAAAGAUUUAUGGAUGUUUUUAGCUUGAUCUAAUAGGUGAUUAUGGUGUAGAAGUGGCUUGUGAAGCUUUUUACUUGCUCAUCAAUGGCGGUGGAUGAAGAAAGUUGGCAGAGAAGAGAGAGGGGGAGGACGGCUACUAUGGGGGAUGAAUGAGGAAUGAUAUAUUUUAUUUAAGUGCAAAUACUUAGCCUCCAAGCAAUAAUAUUAUAGUUUAAUCUUUUGUCUUAGCCACUUGCUUUCACUUCCAACAUGCUUAAAUUAUAUUAAAAUCAUGUAUCACAAUACUUAGUAUUAAUAAAUCAUGUACCACAAUUAUAUAGUAUAGUGUAGUAAAUAAAUAAAUUGAGGUACACUUCUCAUUAAUAAAGUCAUUACUCAAUCAUCAAAUAAUUGUGUGACUAAAAUAAAUUAUAAUGAUAAUAAUUAGUACACACAUAAUUCACUUCACAUCUAUCUCAGAAAAAUUAAUUCUGAGAAAAUUCAUUAGGAAAAAUUAUUACUCAAUUAAUAAUUAAUCUAUUCAUCGAUAAAACUCAAUCGAUCAUUUUGGAAAUUCAAAAUGAAUUCGUGUGCAAUCAAAUCAAGAAAAACAUAAUCACUCAAUCACAAUCACAUAUUCAACAAGUAGGUCACACAACAAUCAUUCAAGUAUUUUUACAUAAGCGAACUUAUUGAAAAACUAACGUCGGUGAAAAAUCUAACGUUAACUCAACCGUCUCUCUGUCUUAACUCUUCUCUAUAAUGACUCUCACUUACUCUAAUCGACUCUACUUCUAAUCGAGCAUCAUCAUAAAAUAUUAUCUCAUGGUGAUAUACUCACUAGCUCCAUCAUUAAAAAAAAUACUCCCUCCGUCCGCCAAAAGUAUGGCACAAUUACUAUAUUUGGCGUCCGCGAAAAGUAUUCCACUUUCCUUUUUAAGCCAUGGUCCCACCAUCCACCUUUAUAUUUUAUCCUUACAAACACUCUUUAUUUACAAAAAACCCACCCCAAAUUCAAUCUCCACCACACAUCUCAAAAAGUGGUGGGACCCUUUCUCCACUACAUCAACAUCAUCACCAAUUUUAUUAAUCUCCGUGCCCAGCCAAAGUGCCAUACUUUUGGCACGGAGGGAGUAAUAAUAACUCAAUCUAUUGGGAUAUUUCACUUCGUCAUAUGCUAUUGUUUAUACCUCAGUGCUCUUAAUGGUAAAUCUCAAAAUAUUUAUAAUGAGGAAAAUGCGGGGUGUUACAUCCUACCCCUUAAAAAAAAAUUCGUCCCGAAAUUUGCAUUAUUUACUUUCGGGAAAAAGCUCGGGGUACUUUUCUUUCAUCUUUUCCUCAAGUUCCCAAGUUGCUUCUUCUUGGCCGUGAUGUCUCCAUUGGAUCUUCACCAAAGCAAUUGAUUUGUUUCGCAACUGUUGUAUCUUCCUGUCCAGAAUAACUUCUGGUCUCUCCUCAUAGCUCAAGUCUGGUUCCAGGGAUACUUCUUCUUGGUGAAUACGUGUUUUGGUCAAACACUAUUUCCUCAGUUGAGAUACAUGAAAAACGUCGUGGACGUUCGCGAAGUUUGGUGGCAACGCAAGUCUGUAAGCAACGGGGCCUACUUUUCUAGUAUAUCAUACGGUCCUAUGUAUCUCGGUUUAAGCUUUCCUUUCAUUCCAAAUCGAUGCACUCCUCGAGACGGGGAAACUUUCAGAAAAACUUUAUUUCCCACAUCGAAAUGAAUCUCUGUUCUUCUGGUAUCUGCGUAGGACUUUUAGACGAUCUUGGGCCUCCUUGAUUCUCUGACGAAUCUGUCGCACGGUAGAAAUUAUUUCUUCUACUGCUUCAGGUCCAAGUACCUUUCUCUCUCCUACCUCGUCCCAAUAGAGCGGAGACCUACACUUCUUCCCAUACAAGGCUUCAUAUGGAGCCAUGUUAAUAGUUGACUGGAAACUAUUAUUAUACGCAAACUCAAUUAGGGGCAGAACUUGUUCCCAUUGGGUUCCUCUAUCUAGCACAACAGUUCAGAUCAUAUCUUCCAGAACUUGUAUAGUCCUUUCGGACUGUCCGUCUGUCUGAGGAUGAAAAGUUGUACUAAAGUUCAAUUUAGUACCCAACUCCUUCUGCAUGCUUAUCCAAAACCGUGAGGUAAAUUUGGAAUCUCUGUCGGAUGUGAUCGUCAUCGGUAUUCCAUGCAGUCGUACUAUCUCCCGAACAUAGAUCUGAGCUUGCUUGUCAGAUCCAUAAGUAAUUGGAAUAGGUAUAAAAUGGGCACUCUUCGUCAAUCUAACAACGACUACCCAAAUGGUUGUGUUUCCUCUUUUCGACUUUGGCAACCCAGUGACAAAGUCCAUACUUAUGAUCCCACUUCCACUCUGGAAUCUCUAACGGGUGUAGUUUGCCAUAGGUCGUUGGUGUAGUGCUUUUACUUGUUACAUGCUAAACAUCUUUCUACGAAAGAUGCUAUUUCUCUCUUCAUUCCUUCCCACCAAAACCUAGUUUUAGAUCUUGGUACGUGCUUCCUGGGUGUGCAGUGUAGGGAGUGUCAUGAGCUUCACUCAUAAUUUCAUUCUUCAACUCAUCCUUAUCAGGCACACACAAUCUUCUUUCGUAUAAGAUGACAUUGUUGCGCUUCUUGAUAACCUUCCAUUUUCUCGGUUCGAAUCUUCAUACGCAACUUCUCCAUCUUCUCAUCUUCUCGUUGCGCCGCGAUAAUCCUUAAUCGCAAAUCAGGUGUAAUACUCAACGUAGCAAUAACGAUCUCUGUCGUUUGUGGUGGUAAUAUUACUUCUAUUUUCAUCCUCUCAAAUUCUUUGAUCAAGUCCUUCUCUUGGGUAAGGAGAAAUCCCAAUUCUGCUUAAUUCUUUCUGCUCAAAGUGUCAGCUACAACAUUAGCCUUCUAGGGAUGUAAUUGAUUCCAAUCAUAAUCUUUUACUAACUCGAGCCAUCUUCUCUGUCGCAUAUUGAGAUUUUUUUGCUCAAAGAAAUAUUUGAGACUCUUGUGUCGUGUAUAUUCGCACGUACUCCAUAGAGAUGGUGUCUCCAUAUCUUCAAUGCGUGUACCACUCGUAAUUCUAAAUAUGCUCGGGUAAUUCAUCUGUGUGGUCUGAGUUGUCGUGAAGCAUAAGCUAUCACUUUCGUCUUGCAUAAGUACACAUCCUAGACCAUUUUUUACGCAUCCGUGUAGACAAUGUACUCUUUAUCUGCCUUUGGAACAGCUACCACUGGGGCAGUGGUGAGUCUCUUCUUCAAUUCCUGAAAACUUCGCUCACGUACGUUAGUCCACUCAUACUUGACAUCCUUCUUUAGCAGGUGCGUUAUUGGCUUAGCAAUUUUUGAAAAGCCCUCAAUGAAUCUUCGGUAAUAACCUGCUAACCCCAGAAAACUACGUAUUAGUUGGUGAUCUCCAUUCUUGUACAGCCUGCACUUUCGCUGGAUCUACCUCAAUUCCUCUUGUAGAAACGAUAUGGCCCAGAAAAUUGACUUCCUUAAGCCAAAACUCGCAUUUGCUAAACUUGGCGUAAAGUUUCUCAGCUCGCAACUUCUCUAACACGAUCCUUAGAUGUUCUUCAUGUUCUCGUUUACUUCUCGAGUAAAUCAAAAUAUCAUCGAUGAAGACUAACACGAACUUAUCUAAGUAUUCGUGAAAACUCGGUUCAUGAGUCAUGAACACAGCAGGGGCAUUCGUUAGUCCAAAGGCAUCACUAUAAACUCAUAGUGUCCAUAUCUUGUACGAAAUGCGUUUUCGGAAUAUCCUCGAUCGUAUUUUCAAUUGAUGGUAUCUGAUCUUAAAUCAAUCUUCAAAAAGUGUUCGCUCCCUGAAGUUGGUCAACAGGUCAUCAAUCGGGCAACAAUACUUUUCUUCAGCUCACCUUAUUCAGUCACGAUAAUCGAUGCAUAACCUCAAGCUGCCAUCUUUUUUCUUGACAAAAAGAACUGGUGCUCCCCACGGGAAACAUGGGUCGAAUGAAACCCAUUCCAUAAUUCUUGUAGUUGCACUUAACUCUUGUAACUCUGCCAGUGCCAUCCUAUAAGGUGCUUUUGACAUCGGUGCGGUUCUGAGCUCAAGGUCGAUCGUAAACUCAAGUUGUCGAUCUGGUGGUAAUCCUGGCAAAGCUUCAGAAAAACAUCUUUGUACUCCCGCACGACUGGCAUGUUGUCUAUGUUGCCUUGGAUUCCUCACUCUGGUUUAGGUAUACAACGUAAGAGUUGUAUCUUUCUUUGCAAAGCUUUUUGUCGAACGCUGAGAUGAUUGCGUCUUUCUCAUUUUCUCUCAAUGCCAUAAAAGAAGUAGGCUCUUGGCCGGGAGGUUGAAAUGAUAUUCGUCUCUCCUUGCAUUGUAUCGUCGCAUAGUUUUCCUCUAACCAAUCUAUUCCCAAUAUAAUGUCCAAAUGCCACAUAGGCUUACCCUCAGGUUUUAGCCUUAAGCUUAUUGAUCUAACUCAAAUUCUAAGUCAGGACACACGUGUGAAACCGUAGUAGUUGUGCCUAUGGGAGUGGUUACCCUUAGAUGUUGCGGAGCAGGUUCUACGUUUAGUUCCAAUGUAUCCACACACGGAAAGGAGAUAAAAGAAUGCGAUGCUCCAGUAUCGAACAAUAUUACUAUGGGUACUCCAUUUAACUCACCCAUACCUGCUAAAUUUUCUUGAUUCUCAUCCUUCGCUUUCUGAUCAAUGGCAAACACUCUCUGAUGAUGUUGCUAAUUUGCCUGCGGGGCUAGUGGUCGUCUUCCCGACUGAUGUGGUCGGUAAGCUUGCUGUUGGCGCUGUAGCGGCGACAAUGGUAGAUGUCCCUCCAUAGCCCUAAGAUGUGGCUGGAACUGAUUUGGUCGCCCUCCGCUUCCACUUUGCUGACGAUUGGGACAUUGAUUUGAAUAAUGUCCAGCCUUUCCACAGGUAUAACAGUUGUUCGUUCCAAUCUUGCAUUCUCCCAGAUGUAGCUUGUUACAUUUUGGACAAGGUGGUAUCCCUCGGGGUCCGUGUGGUGUUGCUGGGGCUACUGGAGGUCUAGCAUAAGGUCGCUUGUCUCUGCUUUGAAAAUGUGGUGGUGUAUUCUGAUGUUGCCAUGGCUUUUAAAAUUCUUGACUUCGGUCCUCCCAUUUCCUCUUACCUUUCUGUCCCUAUCCCGAAAAAGGUUGAUUUCCCCUUUGAGGGUUCGGGUUCGACUGGGGUACAGAAGUUUGACUCGUCUUUUCUGGCUACAUUGCUAGUUCCAUAUCCAGUGCUCGAUUUAAUGCUUCAUCAUAUGACAGCGCACUCUGACUAGCCAAGACAACUCGUAUCUCUUGCUUUAGUCCAGAGCAAAACAACUCUGACAUCUUCUCGUCCGUAUCUACUUGAUAUGGUGCAUAUCGAGCCAAAUCACAAAACAGACGAUCGUACUCAGAUUUAUAAAUUCUAUCUCCUUGCCCCAGAUUUAUAAAUUCUAUCUCCUUCUUCUUCCGAUAACUUCGCGGUAUAUACUUUUCACACAGAGCUAUCUUAAAUUGCUCCAAGUUAGAGCAGCCAUCUGUUCUGAGGAUUUAUAACUUCGCGGUAUAUACUGUUUUUUUCCUUGCCUCAGAUUUAUAAUUCAACUCAAACCCUCAACCAAGCUUUUGUUUUAAGGAUUUAUGGAUGUUUUUAGCUUGAUCUAAUAGGUGAUUAUGGUGUAGAAGUGGCUUGUGAAGCUUUUU
rnacentral:lncRNA from 1 species